rnacentral:rRNA from 1 species
GAUGAACGCUGACAGAAUGCUUAACACAUGCAAGUCUUUGGUGAAGCUGUGCUUGCACAGCCUAGCCAAGGCGGACGGGUGAGUAACGCGUAAGGAACUUGCCCUGCAGUCAGGGAUAACAGACGGAAACGACUGAUAAGACCUGGUAAAGUCAGGCGGACUCAUGUCCAGCCUGAUGAAAAGAGAUGCUGCAGGAGAGCCUUGCGUCCUAUUAGCUUGUUGGUGGGGUAACGGCCCACCAAGGCAAUGAUAGGUAGCCGGCCUGAGAGGGUGGACGGCCACAAGGGGACUGAGAUACGGCCCUUACUCCUACGGGAGGCAGCAGUGGGGAAUAGUGGACAAUGGGGGCAACACUGAUCCAGCAAUUCUGUGUGCACGAUGAAGGUUUUCGGAGUGUAAAGUGCUUUCAGCAGGGAAGAAAAAAAUGACGGUACCUGCAGAAGAAGCGACGGCUAAAUACGUG